UGACGGCGUUAAACGCAGACCAACCAGCUGGACUCCCCGUUAGGGCUGAUUAGGAUGCCAGGUCCAGGUCUGAGCCUCCCUUUAAAGAAGAGGGCCUCCAGUGCUCACCCAGUCCUCACCUCACCAGAUCUGAAUCUCGCAGUCCACCCCGCCGCCUCUAGCUACUAGUACAGAAGAGAUGAGUGGAUGAAAGCUCAAACCCGGCUUUCAUAGAUCCUAGCGGUUUUGAAGUAAUAGCGAGCCUGAUUUUGCUUUUCAUCAAAGCAUCUUGACAGACCAAAAUCUGCAAUUUUUGGCACCAUGUUGUCAUCUAGUAGUAUAUUUGCAGGUUUGAGUUCCAAGUGAAGAGUAUGAAUCUCGUGGAGAUAGUGUCUCCCAUGCAAAUCCCUUGAUUAUUUUGUAGCUUGCUCUCCACUCAAGCUCUCUCAAUUCAGGAUUGAUUGGGCAUUGUACAACUGCAAUGAAGUUGUCCAACACACGUAUGCAUGAGAAGUUCCACCAAGUGGUUGAACUUAAAGAACAAAAAAAAUGUGUUGACACACCAAGAAAGACGGA